rnacentral:lncRNA from 1 species
UAAGUUCUUCAAAAUAAAAACGAAAACUAACCUUCAAAAGGUGGGUUCAUUGGAAUAAAGUGACGUCACCCAUGAGAGAGAAAACAGAAUGCGCCUAUGAAGGACAAGAGCACGAAAAUAAUUGGUCAAAACAAACGAAAAUCAUACAUAUAGUAGUUAAUUAACAUGCAUUUGUAUCAAAUGAAAGAAAGAUUACCUGUGAUGGUCAUCAAACUUCGUUCAAGAAAAGUUUGAGAAGAGAAGAGAGUCUUGCACGCUAAGAUAAAGUAAAUGAAUU